GCUCGCGUUGAAACAUAAAAAUAAAUAAAAUGAUUCACGCCGUACUUUUACUUUUGUGUUUAUGAAACGAUAAUUUGGAUGAAUAAAGAAGAAAAAUCAUGGUGAAAUUGUGAUAUAUAUAUAGUGCAUAGAAGAAGGAAGAGGAAGAUAAGUGAAACACUUUCUUGCAUCGAAUAUAUUCAUUUCGCGAUUAAAUUUAAAAAUGAAUAUCCUUGGAGUUUUUUUACAUAUUUAUAAAAAGAAAAAUUGAAUAAUGAAAGAGGGGGAAAGAGCAAAAAAGUGAACUAACACUUAUAUUAAGUAUAAUCACUCGAAGACGUAGAAAUAGAUAAAAAUUACUACUUUAUAGAAACAUUCAGACAGAUAAAAUUUAAAAGCUACGAUAAAACGAUAGGAUGAUAAUAUACGAUAGUACAGUGAGAAAAAGAAGAAGGAAAUAAACGAAGAAACGUUCACUUAUGCCGAUAUCAUACUGUAUUCACGUUUAAAAGUAUAAAUAAAUAAAAAUAUCGACGAUGAAUUUAUUCAUGCGUGUAAAAGAAUUUAAUCCAGAUUCCGAAUAAAGAAGGAAAAAUCGAUAACGAUAGGACAAUAAACCACGGUUAAAAACAUAUAUCAACCAGUAUAAUUCAAACAAUCUCCCGUUCACCUCCGUUCACUCACUGUUCGAAAAAUAUAAUAUAAAAAAAGAAAAUAUAAAAAAGAAAUAUAUACUUACGUGUUUUACGGAAAGUAAGAAAUCGUUUGAUUGAACGAUGACGUAGAGGGAGGGAAGAGGGGACGAAGUGGAGGAAUACCGGCUAUAAGAGGGCCGUCGAUUGUAUUUCACCGUUAUGUCAGACGCGAGAGAGCGAGGAGGAACAUUCCUGGACCGUGUCCAGAACCGAUCUGAAUUCCUCGCCGAGGAAAUUCCAACGAGGUUGUCAUUCGAUGAUCUCAAGGUGAGCACGGUGUGAUCGGCUAUGCGCCGCGUAUGAAUGAAAACUGUGGGCUCGACCUCCGUAUGGAACCACCCUUUGCUCGUGCUCCAGUUAACGAUCGGUGGGACGGGUCGAUUCUUUUAUUUCACGUAUGGAAGGGUCGACCCUCUUUCUCUCGGCUUUGACGCAACGGAUAUCUUUGAACUGGAUUUCUUGAACGAUUUUUUACCUCGCUGGUUGACUAAACACUUUCAAAGGAUAAGAUAUGGAGAUAGAUAGAUGAUGGUUUGAGAGCAAAGGAUGGAGGAUUGGGAGAAGUUUGUAAAUGAUUUAUUUCCUUUAUUGAAAUUUUUAUGCAUGAAUGAAACAAGAUAAUUCUAUGCAAAUAAUGGAUUAUGCGUUUAAGAGUAAAGGAAGGAUGAUUUUGAGAUAUUGGCAAUAAUAUUAAUUUGGUUUUGAUUAAUUUUAAGUAUCAUUGUGAGAUUUUUAUGUGUAGAAAAAAGAAAUUGUAUGAAAAUAGGAAAGCAGAAGAUAUUAUGUUAGCAAAGAAUGAAAUUGAAUAAUAUAUAUUUGUUAUGAAUGUAUGAAUGGAAGAUAAUGCUUCUAGAUAUCCAAAUUUUUUGAAUUCGUUGAAAUUCAUUGAACAUAAAGCUCUACUUUUCUAUUUUCAUUUAUUAAAAAAAAAAAAAAGUCACUCAAGUCAAGAGAUUAAUGAAGUACUUGGAAUUUAGAUAAAGCCAGAUAUAUAGAAGUAUAUAUAUAUAUAGAAGAAUAAAAAAAUAUUGAUCCUAUCUUCAAUAUUUAUUUGAUAAUCAAAGAUAGAAUCUCUGUAUAUAUUAAACAAAAUGUGUUUCAUACACAUAAUGAAAAGAACCUUGAUACUUGUAUUUUCAAUCAUAACUUGAAUUAUUACACCUCUGGACAUUUCUGGAAAUUAUAAAAAAAAUGGAGGGUUUUUUAAACUUUAGAUAAAUAUAAAUGAUGAAGGAAUGAUAUCCAGAAGAAAAGUUCUAGAAGAAAUUUAUUAUUUAUUUAGAACAAAUCAGUCGAAUCCAGUAUGUCGGUCAUCGAUAAAAUCGAAUAAAAUUCAUCGUAUUCCUCUGCGAAACCUUGUUAAACAUCUCAUGACUACACACCUAUAUAUGUGAAUCUCAUACAAAGUACUCCGUACGGAUUAAGACAACAUAUGCCUUCAAUAUCUAUGAUUAAUUACAAAGGAGAUUGUUCAAAUACCAUUGAAAUGGAAAACGAAAAUCCGUAGUAUUUACUUUCUCCUGGCAUUCUGGUUCGAGCGCCAUUUAUUUACACAUUGGCGAUAGUAUUUCUAAGAAUAGUGUAAAUACAUCGGUGGAGGUAUAUUAUCACACGAGUACCAAGGUGAUUCUGUUUUUCAUGUAAUUACAACCAAGAGACAAUUCGUGUUUCAUUCUUAUCGUUCCGUGUUUCAAGCUAGUCAUUUCAACCGACCUUUCAGGUUGGACAAUUUUACAGUGCAACGUCGUUGCUAAUAUAAUGUCAAAAGAUAAUGUAAUAAAAUAAAAAAUUGAGGUAGAAAUAUUUUUAAUGCUCGUUUCCAUGUACGAAUGAAGUUACUCCUAUUUGUUGAAUUUAACAAUUUUUUAAAAUUAGAAGAUUGAUUGCUUAUUCUACUAGCUUACUCCAAAUAAAAUUGAAAAACACUCACGUAAGAAUUUUCUAAUCUCUGUAUCUGUAAAAUAUCGGAAAGAAAGAAGAUUAAAAAUCUAUAAAAUAAUACAAAUAUAUAAGAAGUAAGUAUAUAACAAGUGAAUAAAGGUAUUAUCUACUUCUUGAUACAAUCUUGUCGUAUCUAUUUCAUUCCAUUUAUCUAUAUAUACAAUAUUUCUAUCGAACAGGUUUCUUUCGUCGAUUCUAAGAAAAUAGAUAAAGAAAUGAGAAAAAGGAAGAAGAGGAAGCAAGAAAAAAAAACGAAAGCAUUUUGCGUCCUCGUGAUUUACGAAGCCGAAAGUAGACCGGCUCGCAAUCGGGCUCGCUCGUUUGAGGAAAGCGACCGGUAAUUCGAACGAGCGAUGUAUUUCCUCGCGUGUAAUUUUUCCUCGCGGCCGAAGGAAACCGGUCUUCUUUAUCAUCGUGACGAUAAGUCCCUGCUUGCGCAACGAUUAUGCGCCAGAGAGACCGUGCUUCGUAUGCAAAAAGCGUCCCCGUUCUCUUUCUUCUUCCUCUUUUUUUUUUUUUUUUUAUUACGAAUACGAGAGAGAUUCUUCUUCUCUUUCUCGCUAAUAAAGUGAAGAAACUGACGAUGG
rnacentral:lncRNA from 1 species